UAUUUUUGUGUAUUCCAGUUAUUGGCUUCGAACAGCUUAAAAGGGGCCACAACAACUACGAAAGGGUUUUGUGCCUCUUGAGAGCCACAUACCAAGACCGCUGCCAACACCACGUAGACCCCUUGCCAAAUUAUUUUUUGGUGGAAGAAACUCUUUGUGCUGAGCUCCAACUGCGCUUUGGAUUCACUGUGGAUGAAGCGGAAGAACGGCUAAAAAAGUCGUCACAAGUUUUCUCAGAGGAGGAAGGAAGGGAAACUUCAUUUUUAGAGCUCUCGAAGCACUUGCAAGGUUCGUCAGAGCACUCACUGAUCAUUGAGGCUGCUCUACCGACAGAAAUAAAAAUUGCUGCACCACACGUAUAUGUAUACAAGGACCAAGCUUGGGUAUAUGGAGGCAGCAAGGAAGAAGUAAUUCACCUGAAGGAACUGAACCUUGAGCGUGCCGUCGUCAUAUGCUUUCUCAUAUACUAUCUGAAAAACCUCAUGUACCCGCCUGCUUUUUCGCAGACCCUCAAUAUGGUCCAAAAACUUUUAAGACCUCAAGCACCUAUCCCAUGUGGGCUUAUUUCAAACCUGUUGAAGUGUUUCUUGGCGCUUUUGAAGAAAAAAAAAAGUCUGAUCACUAUAUAUGCAAUUGGUUGGUCAAACUUUAUUGCCAAAGAUUAUUUGGGCAGAUGUUUGGAAGUUCUCAUAUAAAUAUUUUUCCAAGAAAAACUUUUCAGUUACGUAU